AUACAGGUGGUGCAUGGUUGUCGUCAGCUCGUGCCGUGAGGUGUUGGGUUAAGUCCGCAACGAGCGCAACCCCUAUUGAUAGUUGCUAAUAUUAAGUUAAGGACUCUAUUGAGACUGCCAGCGACAAGCUGGAGGAAGGUGGGGAUGACGUCAAAUCAUCAUGGCCCUUACGACCAGGGCUACACACGUGCUACAAUGGCGCAUACAAAGAGAAGCGACCUCGCGAGAGCAAGCGGACCUCAUAAAGUGCGUCGUAGUCCGGAUUGGAGUCUGCAACUCGACUCCAUGAAGUCGGAAUCGCUAGUAAUCGUGGAUCAGAAUGCCACGGUGAAUACGUUCCCGGGUCUU
rnacentral:rRNA from 1 species